rnacentral:rRNA from 1 species
UACGGAGGGUGCAAACGUUGCUCGGAAUCAUUGGGCGUAAAGCGCACGUAGGUGGCUUGUUAAGUCGGGUGUGAAAUCCCUGGGCUCAACCCAGGAAGUGCACUCGAAACUGGCGAGCUUGAGUACUGAAGAGGGUCGCGGAAUUCCCGGUGUAGAGGUGAAAUUCGUAGAUAUCGGGAGGAACACCAGUGGCGAAGGCGGCGACCUGGGCAGAUACUGACACUGAGGUGCGAAAGCGUGGGGAGCAAACAGGG